GGGGAUUUAGCUCAAUGGUAGAGCGCUUGCCUAGCAAGCACAAAGCCCUGGGUUCAGUCCCCAGCUCCU
rnacentral:tRNA from 1 species